UCGGGAAUUUUGGGCAAUGGGCGAAAGCCUGACCCAGCAACGCCGCGUGAAGGAUGAAAUCCCUCGGGAUGUAAACUUCGCAAGAAUGGGAAGAAUAAGUAGAAGAUAAUACCUUCUAUGAUGACGGUACCAUUUGUAAGCUCCGGCUAACUCCGUGCCAGCAGCCGCGGUAAUACGGGGGGAGCAAGCGUUGUUCGGAUUUACUGGGCGUAAAGGGCGCGUAGGCGGCCACGACAAGUCAGUUGUGAAAUCUCUGGGCUUAACUCAGAACGGUCAACUGAUACUGUCGGGCUAGAGUGCAGAAGGGGCAACUGGAAUUCUCGGUGUAGCGGUGAAAUGCGUAGAUAUCGAGAGGAACACCUGCGGCGAAGGCGGGUUGCUGGGCUGACACUGACGCUGA
rnacentral:rRNA from 1 species